rnacentral:rRNA from 1 species
UACAGAGGUGGCAAGCGUUGUUCGGAAUUACUGGGCGUAAAGGGCGCGUAGGCGGCCUUCUAAGUCAGACGUGAAAUCCCCCGGCUUAACCUGGGAACUGCGUCUGAUACUGGGAGGCUUGAGUAUGGGAGAGGGAUGUAGAAUUCCAGGUGUAGCGGUGAAAUGCGUAGAUAUCAGGAGGAACACCGGUGGCGAAGGCGGUUCUCUGGGCAUUACCUGACGCUGAGGAGCGAAAGUGUGGGGAGCGAACAGG